rnacentral:rRNA from 1 species
CUCGUAGGCGGUUCGUCGCGUCCGGUGUGAAAGUCCAUCGCUUAACGGUGGAUCCGCGCCGGGUACGGGCGGGCUGGAGUGCGGUAGGGGAGACUGGAAUUCCCGGUGUAACGGUGGAAUGUGUAGAUAUCGGGAAGAACACCGAUGGCGAAGGCAGGUCUCUGGGCCGUCACUGACGCUGAGGAGCGAAAGCGUGGGGAGCGAACA